CAAAUAACUAAACCCUAACAUUCCCCUUUCUCUCUCUCAAUCACUUCCUCCCGACCGAGCAGCCCUCGGUGUUUCUCCCAUUCUCUAUCUUGCUUCUCUUGGCCUGAUCCCCUCACCUCUCCUUCCUCUCUGCAGAUCCACGACCCAGAUGGUGACCGCCCGUGCCACCAGCUCCUGCGGCUAUGGUCGGCGUCAACGGCAGCACCAGCGGUGGGGGCGACGCAGAGAUGAGCGGGUGGACGGGCCUCCACUCCUCCACCAAGCUCCUCGAGCAGGCCGCGCCCACCCCGCACUUCCCUACCGUCCAGAGGAACCUGGACCAGCUCGAAGCACUCUCCACCAAGCUCAAGGCCAAGACCAUCUGCACUAAGGCGCCAUCCCAGUCACUCUCCGCCACCAGUUAAAUAGAUCUCCGGGGCCCCUUUAAUUAGCCCCGAGAGCAUGUCUCCAUACCACCUUUGAGGAUGUUUUUUUGUCUGAAGCAACUACUGUCGAGGAGUACCUGCAGCAGCUUCAUGAAAUGGCAAUAGUUUCAUCCAUCCAAGAAGCUCAAAAGGACAACUUGAGGAGUUUGAAUGCAGUGCUGGUGUAUACCAUGUUUUGGCGAAAUGGAGUAUCACUUGGAGGGAUGUGAUCCUGCACUUUUUGGGGUAUUUAGCUGUAGUGUAGGUAGCUGUAGUAUGAUCUGGGGCUCUGAUGGUUUGAGGUAGAGAAGAGAAGCAGAGCUCUUUCUUUUUAAAGGUCAUUAUAAUUUCAAUUUAGAAUCUACUUAGAUACUGCCAGGAGAUUCUUUGAAAUUUCCAAUAUAUCUGUUGUCAGAUUAACUUAGAAUACCCUGUUGCUCUUGUAUAACUAAAAAGGUUGCUUCAAUCUAAUGCUCUC